AGAUGGGUCCCACUCCUCUUAUCUCUCCCUUCAGCUGGCGGGUGGGGUCAGGAGCUCCAAGAGGCUGUGCAAGUACAGGAGGGAGCUCAGAGGUUGUUCGGCCUCAGGGCAGGUCAACAGCUAGAGAAGAAGGGAGCUGGCGGGGCGAGCGGCUGCCUCUUUGACCUCAUUGUCCUGCCUCUUGAAGGAUCGUCAAAACAGUGUUGGAAAGCACCAGUGAACCAUCUUGAGCAAUCCAAAGGCAGCAUCUCAAAGUUGUUUUGAAGAAACAAAUAGCGCAAAAGUCACCUGGCCAGCAUUUCAUGCUCCACGGCAGCUGCCAGAGGAGGAGGUACAGCCAGUAAAUGUGCAUGUUUGAUUAUUGCCUUCUGGCCCUCCAGCUUUCUAAAGAACAGGACGUCCUUCAGAGGAAGAAAUGCUUUGCACAUGCUCAAGGGCAUGGCCCUUCCGUUGAUUGUUUUUAAAUACUGCUUGUCAUCCAAAGGAAAGGUGCCAAGGUUCCCAGGCAGCUAUCUAACAGAAGAGGAUUGUUUUGGCUACCGAUGUUCCACCGAGAAUCAGCCUUGGGAAACUACUGCUCUCCCUACUUCAAAGGCGUUGUUUUGGGAACCGUGGGGGGGAGGAGGGGCCCGCUGGGAUCUGUUACUCUGUACCUUAUGCCUUGCCUAUCAUUGGUAACAAUGCAUAUGUACCAUCCUGAAUAUUGCAUUCAGGCUAGUGGACUAUAAUGAACUAUUUCUUCAAUAAAU